GAUGAACGCUGGCGGCGUGCCUAAUACAUGCAAGUCGAGCGAACGGACGAGAAGCUUGCUUCUCUGAUGUUAGCGGCGGACGGGUGAGUAACACGUGGAUAACCUACCUAUAAGACUGGGAUAACUUCGGGAAACCGGAGCUAAUACCGGAUGAUAUUUUGAACCGCAUGGUUCAAAAGUGAAAGACGGUCUUGCUGUCACUUAUAGAUGGAUCCGCGCUGCAUUAGCUAGUUGGUAAGGUAACGGCUUACCAAGGCAACGAUGCAUAGCCGACCCGAGAGGGUGAUCGGCCACACUGGAACUGAGACACGGUCCAGACUCCUGCGGGAGGCAGCGGUAGGGAAUCUUCCGCAAGGGGCGAAAGCCUGACGGAGCAACGCCGCGUGAGUGAUGAAGGUCUUCGGAUCGUAAAACUCUGUUAUUAGGGAAGAACAUAUGUGUAAGUACCUGUGCACAUCUUGACGGUACCUAAUCAGAAAGCCACGGCUAACUACGUG
rnacentral:rRNA from 1 species